rnacentral:rRNA from 1 species
CCUACGGGAGGCAGCAGUGAGGAAUAUUGGUCAAUGGGCGCGAGCCUGAACCAGCCAAGUAGCGUGAAGGAUGACUGCCCUACGGGUUGUACACUUCUUUUAUAAAGGAAUAAAGUGAGGCACGUGUGCCUUUUUGUGUGUACUUUAUGAAUAAGGAUCGGCUAACUCCGUGCCAGAAGACGCGGUAAUACGGAGGAUCCGAGCGUUAUCCGGAUUUAUUGGGUUUAAAGGGAGCGUAGAUGGGUUGUUCAGGCAGUUGGGAAAGUUUGCGGCUCAACCGUAAAAUUGCAAUUGAUACUGGCAGUCUUGAGUACAGAUGAGGUAGGCGGAAUUCGUGGUGUAGCGGUGAAAUGCUUAGAUAUCACGAAGAACUCCGAUUGCGAAGGCAGCUUACUAAACUGCCACUGACAUUGAUGCUCGAAAGUGUGGGUAUCAAACAGGAUUAGAUACCCGUGUAGUC